rnacentral:rRNA from 1 species
GACGAACGCUGGCGGCGUGCCUAAUACAUGCAAGUUGAGCGCUGAAGGUUGGUACUUGUACCAACUGGAUGAGCAGCGAACGGGUGAGUAACGCGUGGGGAAUCUGCCUUUGAGCGGGGGACAACAUUUGGAAACGAAUGCUAAUACCGCAUAAAAACUUUAAACACAAGUUUUAAGUUUGAAAGAUUCAAUUGCAUCACUCAAAGAUGAUCCCGCGUUGUAUUAGCUAGUUGGUGAGGUAAAGGCUCACCAAGGCGAUGAUACAUAGCCGACCUGAGAGGGUGAUCGGCCACAUUGGGACUGAGACACGGCCCAAACUCCUACGGGAGGCAGCAGUAGGGAAUCUUCGGCAAUGGACGAAAGUCUGACCGAGCAACGCCGCGUGAGUGAAGAAGGUUUUCGGAUCGUAAAACUCUGUUGGUAGAGAAGAACGUUGGUGAGAGUGGAAAGCUCAUCAAGUGACGGUAACUACCCAGAAAGGGACGGCUAACUACGUG